rnacentral:ncRNA from 26 species
UUUUUUUGCCUCUGACUUUCGUUUUUGGCCAUUUCGUCCAGACUUAAGUCACUUAGUCUCGCC